GAACGGUAGCACAGAGAGCUUGCUCUCGGGUGACGAGUGGCGGACGGGUGAGUAAUGUCUGGGAAACUGCCCGAUGGAGGGGGAUAACUACUGGAAACGGUAGCUAAUACCGCAUAACGUCUUCGGACCAAAGUGGGGGACCUUCGGGCCUCACACCAUCGGAUGUGCCCAGAUGGGAUUAGCUAGUAGGUGGGGUAAUGGCUCACCUAGGCGACGAUCCCUAGCUGGUCUGAGAGGAUGACCAGCCACACUGGAACUGAGACACGGUCCAGACUCCUACGGGAGGCAGCAGUGGGGAAUAUUGCACAAUGGGCGCAAGCCUGAUGCAGCCAUGCCGCGUGUAUGAAGAAGGCCUUCGGGUUGUAAAGUACUUUCAGCGGGGAGGAAGGCGAUGAGGUUAAUAACCUUAUCGAUUGACGUUACCCGCAGAAGAAGCACCGGCUAACUCCGUG
rnacentral:rRNA from 1 species